rnacentral:rRNA from 1 species
CCCUUAGAUGUUCUGGGCCGCACGCGCGCUACACUGAUGAAUUCAACGAGCACUAACCUGUGCCGAAAGGUUCGGGUAAUCUUGUGAAAUUUCAUCGUGAUGGGGAUUGAUUAUUGCAAUUUUUAAUCAUAAACGAGGAAUUCCUAGUAAGCGCCAGUCAGCAGCUUGCGCUGAUUACGUCCCUGCCCUUUGUACACACCGCCCGUCGCUCCUACCGAUGGGUGAUCCGGUGAAUGAUUCGGACUUCAGCGGCUCCCCUGGGGUGCGCCGGAGAAAGUUUUGUGAACCUUAUCACUUGGAGGAAGGAGAAGUCGUAACA